rnacentral:lncRNA from 1 species
AUGUUAGUUGUGAUCCAUUUUUACUUUUGACUCAUGCUAGCUAAUAAUUAAUUAAAACAACAUCCUUAUUAAUUGAUUAAUUCACCUAUAAUCUGCACUGUUAAUGACAUUGAUGUAACACUCCGUUUUUUUUUUAAGGGUGUAAUCUAAGACAAUUUUGUGCCCAGACACGAAAGUGUCGUCUCCAAUCCACCACAAACAUAGAAACCCGACUCGAAUCUAUUACUCAAAAUCACAAUAAACAUGCAAUCCUACAUAAAAUAUCACAAUGAAGGUUAAUUUAACAAACUCCCAACAGACCCACUAUCUACACUACUACUAGUUAUUACACACUCAAUCAUGCCAAAUGACAAAAACAUUAUUGCCCGGUUCCUCUAUCUGCUAGGCUCAGAAAUCAGCAACUCUGAUCCUGACUCCAUCCCUACUCUAU